rnacentral:misc_RNA from 1 species
AGGAGCUUAAGUUCAACUCAUAUCCACAACUGCCACAGCUGUAGUUAACGUCUCUAAGAGAAGCAGAGGAAGAAGAAAACGAGUGAAAUUGAUUCCCGUUGAGAUAAUUGUCCUUGACAACCGCUGAUUUCUCCAUUGAAUCACACUGGUCAAUAGCUACAAUCGUGGCUUUGACGGUGCCAGGCAACAAAAAUGUCGAUGCUCGCCGACAGCUAAUCGAGGAAGAAUUUCGAAAGCUUUAAGUAGGUAGGCCGCAAAUAAGCAACCGCAGUUCACGGCAAGCAGCUCUUAAAGAUAGAACAAAUAAAGGGGUUUCACACGGUGCAUAGAAGAAGAAGAAGAAGAAGAAUCAAAGCAAUGAAAAAAGCAAUAAUG